rnacentral:lncRNA from 1 species
GGGGGGACCAGGGUGGUAGGGUGCAAGCGUGAUGAGCAUGUUUCUCAAUGAUCUCCCUGUAACCUGGUCCUGGUGACGUACAUCUUUUCAUUCUCCUUAUUCUCUUUCCUAUCACCCGAGCAAAGAGGCUUAUCUUGGGUGUGUGACAUCAUAGACAUCUCCUUGGUGUGUGGAGUGAGGCAUAGCUACCCUUUCCUAUCGAACGGUGCCUCUCAGCACAGCUUCCGCUGCUUGCCCUGGAAGGACACCACGGGUGGUUGGGUGGCUUGAAGUGCCAUGGCCAUGCGUUUCCGGGCGAGAUGAGCCUAUCUCACUUUUCCUGGUGUUAUCUCGCCUUUUAGCACAUUGAGCACUCAGCAGGGCCACGCUAAGUAAGAGGCGGAUGCAUGGGUUUCCUUCCAUGGCCACCCCAACGCAGGGCGAUCGUUCCAUCUCAGGGCCCACGCUAGCCAGAUAAUGGGGGAAGAGAGAACAAGCUGGGAUUUGCUCCCUGAAUCAUCUGAAUCAUCUGCCAGCUGUCUGCACAACCCGAGAGGCAGACCUGACCGGCUUUCAUGGUGAACCAUGAUGUUAGGAGAAGGGAACUCCAGCCGGACGAGUCAGUCCCAGGCGAGCUCUUCAGGCAGCAGCAUCCGGAGGCUUCAUCGUCUGGACUGCACAUGGAACACACUCUGUCUGGAAGUCACUAGAAGAAUAACUUCAGGAUCUGACGGACUGGACAGGAAAGAGACACUCCUCUGUGCUGCUAACGUGUUCUUAAGGACAGCUAAUAACUGAGCAAAGUCGGAGGUGGCCACAAGAAGGACAGCGAGUCCAGACUAGAAGAGAGAGAGUUAACCGUCCUCACACGGAGCAGCCUCUCCUUGUCACUUGGCAUCAUCAUGGCUGUCCUGCUAAAGACAAAACACAUUUUCCAAAAGAAGGCUCUUUUGACCCCUUGGCUGCUGUUCCAAAAUGGGGAAAUAUUACCAGGAUGAGAAUUACGCAGGGCAAAUAUUCAUGAAGAAAUGUGGUCUAAUGGAAGUCGCGUCUAUAAAAUAUCCAAUGCUUAGAAAUAAAUGAGAAUUCUGUCAAUCA